AUCCAAGUGGGUUGAGUUGCGGUUUGGUUGGAGAUGUUGGUGUUGUUUGAGACGCCCACUGGGUUCGCCAUUUUCAAGGUUCUGAAUGAGGGCAAGCUCGACAAGAUCGAGGGUCUAUGGAAGGAGUUCACCACGUUAGAACUUGGCGAGAAAGGUUUCUGCUUAAUUUUUUAUUCUUUCGACUGCAAAAUAACUUCUUUUUUGAAACACUUAGUGAAUGAUCUAUCUAUCACAUUAUAAUAGAGCAAGCCAGCAAAUGCCCUUUAUUUGAAUGAGCAAGAAUCUGUGGUGUGCCCCUGAGUUAUAUGUCCCUUUUCCAAAUGUUAAAAAGGUUAUCUUAACUUAUUUGUCGCAUAGAAGUUGGUUUGGGAAACUAGGCUCAUUGGAUGUUUGCAUGACUUCUUUGAACUGCAAGGAACACCCCAUAACUGAACUCAGUUAAGCAGGCUGAUAGAUGAUAUCUUGUCUGCACAGUGGAUUGCCUAGAAUACUGGACUUUUCACCAACUUAAAAAAAUGACAAGUGACAUUCAUGACUGCACUUACUUUUUGUAGCCUGUUUGCUCAAAAUAAUAAGAGGCUGAAUGGUUCAGUUAGAGGCUGAAAUGUUUCUUCCUGGUGAUAUCCAUUGUAAUUUUUGAUAGGGAUAUAUAUAAAGUUCUUGAUAAGAUGUUGAGAUAACUCAUAUGCCUCUCAGUCCUAUUUCUUAUAUUCUUUUUACAUUGUACUGACUUAAUGCAACUCUCUCAAUUUAACUUCGAGUAAAUAGGCUCAAAGUUCAGCUCCAAGGAAUAAGCAGGUUAUAGAAUGUAGACAAGUGCUGCAAUGAACAUAUGCGUAUGGAUAUUAUCUUGAUGAUAAAGAAGGGCCACAAGAUGAUGCAAAUGAACAUGUUUGCUGCAGGUGACCAGGUCCAUAGGAGAGAUGCUUACGUUUUGUAUGGAUGUAUAUAGUUGCGCUAUAUUGGUGUGUAUGGAAGCUACAGUACCUUGCCAGUCCUUGGUGAAGGUAGUUUGAACCUUUGCCCAGUUCCCUUCUAUGUGCGUUUGAAUUUUUUGAUAGGUGAAAAACCCUUUUGUAACUUUAAUGCUCUAAUUGGAUUGGUCAAACAUGAGCAUAAAUAUAAUGAUAAGGUGCACACAAAUUGAAGUCUUAGAUUAAUGGUCUGAAUAUAACUAAGCAAUAGUCCUACUAGGAUGUUGUUUUAAGUACUUACGAGACAAUAUCAGAGGGAUGCAAUGGCUAAAAUAUGUAUGGUUUGUUAGCUUGGAGCAAGAACUGUGAUGGUCAUCUUUCAUGUACCUUCAUAAUAUUAUUAAAUGCUCAAAUUGUUGCAAAAUAUCAUGGUUAGCCUAUUGAUGUUGCAGUGCAUAAUAUGAUUAUUAUUGAAAAGGAGCAUCAGAACAUCCCAUAUGGCUUACUAUAUAUGUUCACUUGCAUCUUAGCAGCAACAUGUGAUUAAGCUCAUACAAGUUGAAAUUUGUUAUUUGUGGAUGCAUGCCUAGGCAAUCAUAUGACUGAUGCAUUCUAACCUAACCUAUAAGGAGGCUAGCCAACUUGCCUCCAUGGAGCUCCCCAGAUUGGCCCCUUUCUGGGUGUUCUAUCACGGUGAAUUUCCCACCUCUUGUCCCCCAGCCGUUAGAUAUUGAUCGUAUGUUUUACCUUGUUUUUUACACAUGUAUGACCAGUGGACCAGUUCAUUGGUGGGGCCAGUGUUUAUUUAUUAAGUCACCAGACAUUGAGAUCUGGAACAUUGCAGAGCAAUAAUUGAAGGAAGUAUUAGAUGAGUUUGGGAAGACAUGGUUGUGUAUGUAGUAUUUUCACCAUGAGGUUACCAUUGCUCGGCUCCUGACAGUAUGAUGCCUCAAUUAGAUUUUCUUAUCCCGGUGUGUUUGUAAUGUACUCGGAAAAUUAGUUUGCUUUCUUUUUGCUCCCUUGAGAAUGCAUCCUGAAUUAGUAUGAUAGCAGUCAAGCAAAAAUGGCUUACUGUUGAUACAAAUAUAACUUCGAUUACUCCUACUUUGCUAUUUUAU